rnacentral:lncRNA from 1 species
GGCGCGGGCCAAUCCGCGGCGAGCGGAGUCAGGUUGCGGGUCCAGGAUUCCCUCCAGGUUCUGAGCUCCGGGCCACCGCUGGAUGCUCCAAGAAGGAGGACGUGGAUGGUAGCCGAGGGGAUGGGAACAUUGCAACAUAUAACUUUCAAAUAGUGUGGCAUGAUAAGUGGAGAGCAUGGACCUUCUUGUCUUGAACAUGUUGAGUAAGUAUUGUUCUAUUUUAAUUUUCUAAAGAUGACAAUUUCUUAUCUUUCUCCAUUUUUGUAGAUAAUUUGUUUUUCUUUCUUUUAAUAUAUUGAAUUUUGUUAAUAAAAUUCCUACUUGGAACCA